rnacentral:rRNA from 1 species
ACGUUUCCGGAACUUCGGUUUUCGGAAAGAAAGCAAUACCGUGGGUAUUGCGCUCCUGGAUGGGCUCAUUGUCCUAUCAGCUUGUUGGUGAGGUAACGGGCUCACCCAAGGCUUCGACGGGUAGCUGGUCUGAGAGGACGAUCAGCCACACUGGCACUGCGACACGGGCCAGACUCCUACGGGAGGCAGCAGUAAGGAAUAUUGCGCAAUGGACGAAAGUCUGACGCAGCGACGCCGCGUGGGGGAUUGAAGGUCUUCGGAUUGUAAAACCCCUUUCGGGAGGGAAGAUGGAGUGGGUAACCACUUGGACGGUACCUCCAGAAGCAGCCACGGCUAACUUCGUG